rnacentral:rRNA from 1 species
AUUGAACGCUGGCGGCAGGCCUAACACAUGCAAGUCGAACGAGUGGCGGACGGGUGAGUAAUGUCUGGGAAACUGCCUGAUGGAGGGGGAUAACUACUGGAAACGGUAGCUAAUACCGCAUACCAUCGGAUGUGCCCAGAUGGGAUUAGCUAGUAGGUGGGGUAAAGGCUCACCUAGGCGACGGUCCCUAGCUGGUCUGAGAGGAUGACCCGCCACCCGUGAAAUGAGACACGGUCCAGAAUCCUACGGGAGGCAGCAGUGGGGAAUAUUGCACAAUGGGGGCAAGCCUGAUGCAGCCAAGCCGCGUGUAUGAAGAAGGCCUUCGGGUUUUAAAGGAAUUUCAGGGGGGAGGCGUUACCCGCAGAAGAAGCACCGGCUAACUCCGUGCCAGCAGCCGCGGUAAUAC